UCCCAGAUAGCUCAGUUGGUAAAGAAUCUGCCUGCAAUGCAGGAGACCCUGGUUCGAUUCCUGGGUAGGGAA
rnacentral:tRNA from 1 species